UGUAUGAAUUUAAGCUGUGGAUGAAUGUGGAAAUUUAGAUUUAUAUAGUUCUAUUGGCAUUGUUUUCCGCCAUUUAUCUUUUAUCACGUCCCUCGAGAAACUCUUUGUGAUCGGCAAAAGUCGUUGUUCGUCUAAACGACGGGACAUUUCUCAUCCGUUGAUAGCUAGUGUUCUCACUCGCCUGCGCUUGAACCCCUGACUGGCGAGUUCGACUAACAUUUUUUGCCUUUUUCUUUCAAUGAUUUCUUUUUCACUCGAGGAGCUGUUGUUUGUGAGGAGUGUAAAUUUAGUUUUACUCAUACAGUAGCCGCGAUUCCAGCCGAGGAGCGACAAUGGUGGAGCUAAUAUGGUUCAGAGUCCUCUUAACGACUAUCUUGUUUUGGAAGAAAGAAGAAAUGGAAGAGAUGCUUUGAAAGUGAGGCAGCUGACAAGACAGACUUCAGUAAGAAUCCUCAGCGUUGAUCAAGAAAGUUCACAGCUCACCUCAUCUAGAGUGGGAAUCAUCUUGGAAGAAAGCUUGGUAAUGGAUGAACUGACCAAUCUCAGGCCUUCUAUGUCCAUUGUUUUCAGACUGAUUUCCCUGCCUACACCUGGACUAUCCUAAGUGUAUGAAAAGUAUUUUAUAUUUUUUGUCGGGAAAAGGUGAGCUGACACCUAAAAUUCAGUAUUGCCAAUAGUGUGAACUCAGAGUGUGGAAAAAACAUAUCGUUUUGAUGCUGUUUGUUGCGAUUGAGGAAAACUUGUUUGUGUGCUUAACGAUAAGUUAAUUUGUUGAACUAGUAUCUUUUUGAACUUUUUUUUUUUCUCCCAUGUUUUAUGGGGAA